ensembl:lncRNA
AGUUCCAAGGAGUUCUGGCAAAGCAUGUUGAAGUCUGAGAGUCAAACUCUGCAUGCUUUCUUAACAGCUACAGGAAUUAUACCAUCAUGGUUGGCUCUGCUUCACUUGGCAUUGAGAAGUCAACUGCAGCAGCUUUUCACCAUAGCCCUGCAUCUCAUGGAACCUUUGAACUGCUGCUAAAACAUCAUAAAGUGUAUAAGAGCCACCAGAUGCUAAACAUUUAUACUUAAGGCUGAUGUGAAGAAUAAAGAAAAUGGUUCCUCUGUUUGAAAAACAAAUCAGAUGCUUUUUACUUCCUUUAGCUAUUGAAUACAUCCUCUUCCCUCCUAGACACUAUCAAUGGCAGUACAAGCCCAAGUGAAGUAGUUGCAUGGGACCUUGCAAAACUGGAACCUCCUAUAACUUCUGCCUAAUUCCCUGCAUAAUUUCUUUCUACUCAUCUAUUAUUGCUGAUAUGCCAACACUACUCCAGUCUUUCACUGGAACCACCUAGCACUUCAUCCAAAGCCCUCCUACACUUUAUUUUUCUAAAAAAUUUUCAAUGAAAAGAGAAAUUCUUUUGCACCUAUAUUUUCUUUAAGAAAUCUGGAAGAAUGACAAUACAUACGUAGGUGAACAGAAAAAUGAGGACCCAGAGAAAAAAACUGUAACCAUUUUAAUUCACCAGUGCACUUUGAAAGCUGCAGUAUCUGACUGGUAAUUAGAAAAGAUGAUGGACCAUUCUUCAACAGUCUUGGCAUGAUUUGCAGGUGAAAAAUUUUAGAAAAAAUAUUUCUGAAUAUCACUUCUCAUCUCCAAAAAAUGUAACCUUGAUUUUAUAAAUUGAAUCCAAUUUAAAAACCAAGUUUUGCAUAAAUGACAUGUGAUGAAACGUCCAAAUUCCUUCCAGAGACAGAAACAGCCCACUUCCCCAGCUGGUAAAAGGAUCACAGUUUCUCACUCAAAAGGGAAGGAUUUUAUGUUAGCUGAUUCACCUAUAUCAAAAUAUCAGAAUGCUAAAUACAAAAAAAUACUACUACCAAAUAAACAGUGGAAGUAUAGAACAUGCAGAAAGCCAUGAGAUGAAAACUUUUUGAAGUACUCCCCAUAGAGAACCAAAAAGGGAGAAGGUUUCUGCAGUGUAGAUCAGACACAUGCCCAGCUGCUCAUAAUUCACACUUUUGGGUGGCAUUAUGCACCUAAGGAGUUACGAGUUACCAUAUGACAUGUCAUCUGAUUGAUGAGUAAUACCCCUUAUAUUGUACCAUUCAAAUUUCAUUCCAUCUGCACCGAU